AUGUACGCAUUCAUGCAAUAAAGGAUGACGCGAAUUUCGGUUUCGAAUCUGUUUUUUGGAUGCGUAGUAGUUUCGUUUGACAUGCGAUCGCGCGUCGACAUCGGACGCUAUGACACACUCGUGCCUUAUGUGCCACCGAAGCCCCGAAGUGGUCUGGCAUAUACCUUUACAUACAAUGCCUACGCCUAACCACAGCAGCUCCCUCAUACAGACUCCACAAACCAAGAGGCCGUGGAGGCAAAUGCAGGCAGCCAGCACACCUCGAACAGCCACCUUGACUGCAGGUGUGUCACCCUAGUCGCCAAGGAAACAUUUGAGGGAAAGUGACAGGCAAUGUGAACAGCCACUUCUCCAUGUAAACAAUACUCUUUCUCUCGGAUGACUCCUACGCCUCACCACGCCAGCACACUUGUGCACAAAGAUGCCGCAGAGGCACGUGCAGGUCAGAGGCAAGAAGCAGUGGCACUGGUGUCGACAUUUACCCAAUUUCUUUUUCUUACACUGAGGCAGCCAGCACACCUCGAACAGCCACCUUGACUGCGGGUGUGUUAGUUGAUUCCUGU